rnacentral:piRNA from 1 species
UGUGAAGAGGAGCAUUGGACUUCUGGC